rnacentral:misc_RNA from 1 species
GGCGCGAAGGUUUUAUUUAAAACACAACGCUCAUUUUCGGUGCCGACCACCAAAGAACCGAAUAAUUCGAGCGCUAUCGAAGAACGUCAGGAGCGCGGCUCGCGUUCAUCUGUCUCAAAUGAGUCGAAUGUGCUGCUAGAUCCUGAAGUGCUCUCCGAUUUGUCCACCCAGGCAUUGGUGUUGACCGUUUUGGCCACAUUGGUGAAAUAUUCAACGGAUGAGAACGAGACGCGCGUGCUCUAUCAGUACCUAGCCGAGGGUUCGGUGGUUUUCCCCAAGGUUUUUCCAGUUAUCCAUUCUCUGCUGGAUCAGAAGAUCAAUAAUAUACUCUCUGUUUCACAUGAUCAAGUCGUUUUGAAUUCAGUACAAAGUAUCAUACAAAAUAUGCUGGCCAGCGAGGACCCCUCACAGCAGCAGUUACAUUUUCUGCAAAGUUGCGGUUUUGGUGGACUCUGGCGUUUCGCCGGACCCUUUACAAAGUACAACAUGAUGGGCGAAUCAUCUGAGUUAUUCGUUAACUGCUUGGAGGCUAUGGUAGAGACAUGUCUGCCGGGUGAUGAUGCAGUGCCGGUGCCACCAUCUCCACGUCCAUACAAUUUAAGUUCGAGCCUGAGCAGUCUGACUUUGGGCUCACCAACAGAUAAAGUUGAGUUCUGUUGGAAAUUAACGCCGUAGAUAUUUCGUAUCCAGUCUGUGCGUGCGAACUCGUAUUUUAAAGCUUUUAUCUAGCCAAAUUUGUAUUUGUUUUCUAAUCAUCAUGUAUUGAGUGGCAUCUAGUUAAGAGUUAUGGCACUUUUGAAGCGCCCAAAACGGAGCCUCACAUACAUACAGCAGCAACAUAGAAUACUUAUAGGAGUACAUACCAACAAAAUUAAACAUCAACACGCAAAUCGGCUAAAAGCUAUGAGAACAUACAAAUGAGGCAAUCAACUUAACAAAAUCAAACACGCAAUUUACACAGCUUCCGCUUCUAAUACACACCACUGUGCCGCUGUUGUUCGCUCGUUUAGUAAUCUUUCUCAUCGGAAUCAUUAGAUCAUGAUAAUUUCGGCGGCAGUGUUAGCUCCCUGCGCCGCGCCUCAUGCAGCAAAGCACGCGCCAAAC